rnacentral:sRNA from 1 species
UACAGUAGACAAUCUGAUUUUGAUGCCC